UACGUAGGGGGCAAGCGUUGUCCGAAUUUAUUGGGCGUAAAGAGCGUGUAGGCGGCUAUACAGGUCCGUUGUGAAAACUCGAGGCUCAACCUCGAGACGCCGAUGGAAACCGUAUGGCUAGAGUCCGGAAGAGGAGAGCGGAAUUCCUGGUGUAGCGGUGAAAUGCGCAGAUAUCAGGAAGAACACCCGUGGCGAAGGCGGCUCUCUGGGACGGUACUGACGCUGAGACGCGAAAGCGUGGGGAGCGAACAGG
rnacentral:rRNA from 1 species